rnacentral:rRNA from 1 species
CUUGGUCAUUUAGAGGAAGUAAAAGUCGUAACAAGGUUUCCGUAGGUGAACCUGCGGAAGGAUCAUUACCGAGUCGUCGACACGAGUUGUUGCUGGCCCCUCAAACGGGGGGCAUGUGCACGCUCUGUUAACACAUCCACUCACACCUGUGCACACUCCGUAGUUCUAUGGUCUGGGGGACAUGUCGUCUUCCUCCUGUAGUUCUGCGUCUUUACACAUACACUGUAGAAAAGUCUUAUGGAAUGCUUACCGCGUCUAACGCAAUACAAUACAACUUUCAGCAACGGAUCUCUUGGCUCUCGCAUCGAUGAAGAACGCAGCGAAAUGCGAUAAGUAAUGUGAAUUGCAGAAUUCAGUGAAUCAUCGAAUCUUUGAACGCACCUUGCGCCCCUUGGCUAUUCCGAGGGGCAUGCCUGUUUGAGUAUCAUGAACACCUCAACUCUUGUGGUUCGCCAUGAAGAGCUUGGACUUGGGGGCUUGCUGGCGCACAGCCGGCUCCUCUCAAAUGAAUUAGCCUGCCAGUGUUUGGUGGCGUCACGGGUGUGAUAACUAUUUACGCUUGUGGUUGCCUGCCAGGUAACCUUCGGUGACGGAGGUUCGCUGGAGCUUAUAAACGUCUUUCCUUGGUGAAGACAGCUUUUUGAACGUUCGAUCUCAAAUCAUGUAGGACUACCCGCUGAACUUAAGCAUAUCAAUAAGCGGAGGA